rnacentral:lncRNA from 1 species
ACAAUUCCUUAGUUGUUACACCAAGUGUUCUUAUGUUUGAAAAAUUCAAGCAAUUACGGACUUAAAAUUAUCCAAACCAACAAUUAAUUACCUUGCAAUCAAGAAUCAAGUGGCCAAUUUGAUCAAAACAACAAAGUAAUAAUAGAAUUCAAGCAUGAACUGUAUGAAUAUUGAAUAACCGAAAGACAAACAAUAUAUGUUCAGAUCUCACAAUCCAUAAAUCAACCUUAGUUUCAACCAAUCUUCAACUAGAAUAAAAGGUUUCAGCCACUCAUGGCUGAAAUAAAAACCAAAAAAAUAAAGAAAGGAAGAAGAAGAUGAAGAGAAGAUGGAGCCGGAUGAGAGGCUUACGCAGAUGGUGUUGCAAAAACGUGGAGAGAGGAUCGGCUGGCCUUUAAGGAGUCUUUAAAUAGGUUUUAGAUGCUGACCUUGUUGCCCUAGAGGUACUUGCUGCCCAAGUUGAGUCAGAAAAGGAAAGAUUCGCGUUCCAAAAUUAUUCAGAAGGAAAGAGGCGUGCGCUUGCUCUUCAGAUGGAAAGUGGCGCGCGAAAUGGCUUCAAAAGGUAAGAGUGUGCUGUCCAAGAUUUUACUUGCUGCCCAAGUGUCUUCAAGAUGC